rnacentral:rRNA from 1 species
UACGUAGGGGGCAAGCGUUGUCCGGAUUCAUUGGGCGUAAAGAGCGUGUAGGCGGCCAGGUAGGUCGGUUGUGAAACUGGAGGCUCAACCUUCAGAGGUCGACCGAAACCAUCUGGCUAGAGUCCGGGAGAGGAGAGUGGAAUUCCUGGUGUAGCGGUGAAAUGCGCAGAUAUCAGGAAGAACACCCGUGGCGAAAGCGGACUCUCUGGAACGGUACUGACGCUGAGACGCGAAAGCGUGGGGAGCGAACAGG